ACCCCUGCGUCUAGUUGCUACCAUUACUCUCUGGAGCAGUGGAGCGAAUUAGACGGACCGCCACAGUUAAUGUGGAGGAAGGAAGGGGCCACGGCAGGUCAGUAUGCCCCGAAACCCUAGGGCUACACGCGGGCUGCAAUGGUAUUGACAAUGUGUUCCGAAUCCGAAAGGAGGAGGCAAUCAUCAGACAAUAUCUCAGUUAUGACUGAGGGCUGUAACUCGCCCUCACGAAUAUGGAACCCCUAGUAACCGCGCGUCACCACCGCGCGGUGAAUACGUCCCUGCUCCUUGCACGAAUUCGCCG
rnacentral:rRNA from 1 species